rnacentral:rRNA from 1 species
GAUGAACGCUGGCGGCGUGCCUAAUACAUGCCAGUCGAGCGAACAGACGAGGAGCUUGCUCCUCUGACGUUAGCGGCGGACGGGUGAGUAACACGUGGAUAACCUACCUAUAAGGCUGGGAUAACUUCGGGAAACCGGAGCUAAUACCGGAUAAUAUAUUGAACCGCAUGGUUCAAUAGUGAAAGACGGUUUUGCUGUCACUUAUAGAUGGAUCCGCGCCGCAUUAGCUAGUUGGUAAGGUAACGGCUUACCAAGGCGACGAUGCGUAGCCGACCUGAGAGGGUGAUCGGCCACACUGGAACUGAGACACGGUCCAGACUCCUACGGGAGGCAGCAGUAGGGAAUCUUCCGCAAUGGGCGAAAGCCUGACGGAGCAACGCCGCGUGAGUGAUGAAGGUCUUCGGAUCGUAAAACUCUGUUAUUAGGGAAGAACAAAUGUGUAAGUAACUAUGCACGUCUUGACGGUACCUAAUCAGAAAGCCACGGCUAACUACGUG